rnacentral:snoRNA from 1 species
UUUGGCUAGGAUGAUAAAUAUUUUAAUCCCAGCUCAUUAUGAGACCUUUUUCAAGGUCUGGGAAUUGAAUUAUCCAACAUUUAUCUGAGCCUUUAU